rnacentral:rRNA from 1 species
UACGAAGGGUGCAAGCGUUACUCGGAAUUACUGGGCGUAAAGCGUGCGUAGGUGGUUCGUUAAGUCUGUCGUGAAAGCCCCGGGCUCAACCUGGGAAUGGCAAUGGAUACUGGCAAGCUAGAGUGCGGUAGAGGGUAGUGGAAUUCCCGGUGUAGCGGUGAAAUGCGUAGAGAUCGGGAGGAACACCAGUGGCGAAGGCGGCUACCUGGACCAGCACUGACACUGAGGCACGAAAGCGUGGGGAGCAAACAGG